CCUACGGGUGGCAGCAGUGGGGAAUAUUGCACAAUGGGGGAAACCCUGAUGCAGCGACGCCGCGUGAGUGAAGAAGUAAUUCGUUAUGUAAAGCUCUAUCAGCAGGGAAGAAAAUGACGGUACCUGAGUAAGAAUCCCCGGCCAACUACGUGCCAGCAGCCGCGGUAAUACGUAGGGGGCAAGCGUUAUCCGGAUUUACUGGGUGUAAAGGGAGCGUAGACGGGUGUGCAAGUCUGGAGUGAAAGGCGGGGGCUCAACCCCCGGACUGCUCUGGAAACUGUACGGCUGGAGUGCAGGAGAGGUAAGUGGAAUUCCUAGUGUAGCGGUGGAAUGCGUAGAUAUAAGGAGGAACACCAGUGGCGAAGGCGGCUUACUGGACUGUAACUGACGUUGAGGCUCGAAAGCGUGGGUAGCAAACAGGAUUAGAUACCCCAGUAGUC
rnacentral:rRNA from 1 species